GACGAACGCUGGCGGCGUGCUUAACACAUGCAAGUCGAACGGAAAGGCCCUGCUUUUGUGGGGUGCUCGAGUGGCGAACGGGUGAGUAACACGUGAGUAACCUGCCCUUGACUUUGGGAUAACUUCAGGAAACUGGGGCUAAUACCGGAUAGGAGCUCCUGCUGCAUGGUGGGGGUUGGAAAGUUUCGGCGGUUGGGGAUGGACUCGCGACUUAUCAGCUUGUUGGUGGGGUAGUGGCUUACCAAGGCUUUGACGGGUAGCCGGCCUGAGAGGGUGACCGGCCACAUUGGGACUGAGAUACGGACCAGACUCCUACGGGAGGCAGCAGUGGGGAAUAUUGCACAAUGGGCGGAAGCCUGAUGCAGCAACGCCGCGUGCGGGAUGACGGCCUUCGGGUUGUAAACCGCUUUAGCCUGUGACGAAGCGUGAGUGACGGUAAUGGGUAAAGAAGCACCGGCUAACUACGUG
rnacentral:rRNA from 1 species